CAGCAGCCACGGUAAUACGAAGGGUGCAAGCGUUACUCGGAAUUACUGGGCGUAAAGCGUGCGUAGGUGGUGGUUUAAGUCCGUUGUGAAAGCCCUGGGCUCAACCUGGGAAUUGCAGUGGAUACUGGGUCACUAGAGUGUGGUAGAGGAUAGUGGAAUUUCCGGUGUAGCAGUGAAAUGCGUAGAGAUCGGAAGGAACAUCUGUGGCGAAGGCGACUAUCUGGGCCAACACUGACACUGAGGCACGAAAGCGUGGGUAGCAAACAGGAUUAGAUACCCCUGUAGUCCCUGUCUCUUAUAC
rnacentral:rRNA from 1 species